AAGUCGUAACAAGGUUUCCGUAGGUGAACCUGCGGUUGGAUCAUUAACAAAUUGAUCAUGGCCCAAGCCUUAACCGGCCGAGCCAGAGUUUCUCUCGCGAAAGCGAGUCAGAAACCCAAACCCAAUUGUGAACCGUUUUCUGUCUCUGGCGGUGGGGUUCGCCCUGUGGCUGACCUGUCAGCAUGACGUUUGUGAAAACGACGUGCCGUGGACAAGCCGCCAAACACAUCUUCAACAACGCUUUGUCUAAUAUCAAUUGUCUAACCUGUUUACUUUGUAUAAAUAUACAAAAACAACUUUUGGCAACGGAUCUCUUGGCUCUC
rnacentral:misc_RNA from 1 species